rnacentral:rRNA from 1 species
GACGAACGCUGGCGGCGUGCUUAACACAUGCAAGUCGAACGGAAAGGCCCCGUUUUUGUGGGGUGCUCGAGUGGCGAACGGGUGAGUAAUACGUGAGUAACCUGCCCCUGACUUUGGGAUAACUUCAGGAAACUGGGGUUAAUACCGGAUAGGAGUUCCUGCUGCAUGGUGGGGGUAGGAAAGUUUCGGCGGUUGGGGAUGGACUCGCGGCUUAUCAGCUUGUUGGUGGGGUAGUGGCUUACCAUGGCUUUGACGGGUAGCCGGCCUGAGGGGGUGACCGGCCACAUUGGGACUGGAAUACGGCCCGGACUCCUACGGGAGGCAGCGGUGGGGAAUAUUGCACAAUGGGCGGAAGCCUGAUGCGGCAACGCCGCGUGCGGGAUGACGGCCUUCGGUUUGUAAACCGCUUUCGCCUGUGACGAGGCGUGAGUGACGGUAAUGGGUAAAGAAGCACCGGCUAACUACGUG